UCCCAACUCCAUUUCUAAACGUUUCUGCUAUCGUACUUAAUAAAUGAGAGGUUUUUGCGAAUUUCUUGCUUUUCUUACUACAAGAAAUCCAAGAUUUAAAAAAGUACCAUUAUUAUCUCAGGCACACGUGUUAAGAUACAAGGUUGUUUUUCUUAAAUUUAUUAUUCCAUAAUGAAUAUGAAAUUUAGCAAAUAAAAAUCACCGUAAUCAAAGAUGAACAAAAGACAUUUUGCAAAGUAAUAAUCAAAAAAAUUGAAAUAUAUUAAUAAAAGAUUGAGUAAACAAAUUGUACCUAGUAGUAAAGUCAAGCCUCUUUCCUCCGUUCGACGAACCAUUGUUGACGUUAUGAGCAAUGUGAGUUAUCUUGGCUACGCUGAAGCAAUAUUUAUAGGCCUCCGCCACCAAUCCGAAUCUGCUCACUGAUUUACCAGUUACCACCUAAAGCCCCACUUAGGGGUUGUUUGGGAGCUCGUGCUCAACUAGUUAAAUUAAG
rnacentral:lncRNA from 1 species